AGUGAAGUAGCAGAGCUCCUUGAAGUCCAAAAGAAGACCUUACUGAGGCAUAAUACUGCUGCUGAUAUAUGGAUAUCCACAGUCCUAAAUUUCAUCAUAAUAUAGGCCUCUGGCUUUGCAUAUUUCAGGAGCUGUUAUUUGCCUUUCUUUCGUUUGGUCAUUUUUUGGAUUGAAGGGAGCUCUACGUCUUCUCUCU
rnacentral:pre_miRNA from 1 species